UGGGGAAUAUUGCACAAUGGGCGCAAGCCUGAUGCAGCCAUGCCGCGUGUGUGAAGAAGGCCUUCGGGUUGUAAAGCACUUUCAGCGAGGAGGAAGGUGGUGAACUUAAUACGUUCAUCAAUUGACGUUACUCGCAGAAGAAGCACCGGCUAACUCCGUGCCAGCAGCCGCGGUAAUACGGAGGGUGCAAGCGUUAAUCGGAAUUACUGGGCGUAAAAGCGCACGCAGGCGGUUUGUUAAGUCAGAUGUGAAAUCCCCGGGCUCAACCUGGGAACUGCAUUUGAAAACUGGCAAGCUAGAGUCUCGUAGAGGGGGGUAGAAUUCCAGGUGUAGCGGUGAAACGCGUAGAGAUCUGGAGGAAUACCGGUGGCGAAGGCGGCCCCCUGGACGAAGACUGACGCUCAGGUGCGAAAGCGUGGGGAGCAAAACAGGAUUAGAUACCCCUGGUAGUCCACGCUGUAAAACGAUGUCGAUUUUGGAGGUUGUGCCCCUUGAGGCGUGGCUUCCGGAGCUAACGCGUUAAAAUCGACCGCCUGGGGAGUACGGCCGCAAGGUUAAAAACUCAAGGGGAAAUUGACGGGGGUCAUAGCUGUUUUCCUG
rnacentral:rRNA from 1 species